rnacentral:rRNA from 1 species
GUCGCGGGGCAGCAUGGGGGUUGCUUGCAACCCCCGAUGGCGACCGGCGCACGGGUGAGUAACGCGUAUCCAACCUGCCCUUCACCACGGGAUAACCCGGCGAAAGUCGGACUAAUACCGUAUGUUGUCCAUUGACGGCAUCCGAUUUGGACGAAAGGCUUGGCGGUGAAGGAUGGGGAUGCGUCCGAUUAGCCAGACGGCGGGGUAACGGCCCACCGUGGCGACGAUCGGUAGGGGUUCUGAGAGGAAGGUCCCCCACACUGGAACUGAGACACGGUCCAGACUCCUACGGGAGGCAGCAGUGAGGAAUAUUGGUCAAUGGGCGUAAGCCUGAACCAGCCAAGUAGCGUGCAGGAUGACGGCCCUAUGGGUUGUAAACUGCUUUUAUGCGGGGAUAAAGGAGCCCACGUGUGGGCUUUUGCAGGUACCGCAUGAAUAAGGACCGGCUAAUUCCGUGCCAGCAGCCGCGGUAAUACGGAAGGUCCGGGCGUUAUCCGGAUUUAUUGGGUUUAAAGGGAGCGUAGGCCGCGCCUUAAGCGUGUUGUGAAAUCCGGGUGCUCAACAUCCGGCUUGCAGCGCGAACUGGGGCGCUUGAGUGCGCAGAAAGUAGGCGGAAUUCGUGGUGUAGCGGUGAAAUGCUUAGAUAUCACGAGGAACUCCGAUUGCGAAAGCAGCCUACUGUAGCGCUACUGACGCUGAUGCUCGAAAGCGUGGGUAUCGAACAGGAUUAGAUACCCUGGUAGUCCACGCGGUAAACGAUGGAUGCUCGUUGU